UGAUGGAGCCUGACUACAGGACACAAACCAAUGCUGACUUCAUGAGGGCUGCAUAGCUUACUGUAUGUGAUUAUAUUUGAUUUCAAACAUUAUAAGAUGUUUAUAAUACAGUUAUAAUAAUAUAGGGUGACUUCAGAUGAGAUUGUAACUUUUUUUGUAUUUACUUUUUUCAACCCAGGCUCAUUCUGAAUACAUACCCCUAUAUACAUUUCUGGAGAGCGUCAAAUACGUCCCAGGAGUUCUUCACUAGUCUCAAGUCCGCUGAGGUAUGCGGUGAGCUACUGGACACACUGGUAACAGCAGAAAAGCUGUCUUUACAGAGGGGUCGACACAGCGGAAUGAACCACCAACUAUUCCAGC